rnacentral:rRNA from 1 species
UACGAGGGGGGCAAGCGUUGUUCGGAAUUAUUGGGCGUAAAGGGCGCGUAGGCGGUUUGACAAGUCUGAUGUGAAAUCUCUGGGCUCAACCCAGAGUCUGCAUUAGAAACUGUCGGGCUUGAGUAUGGGAGAGGUGAGUGGAAUAGCCAGUGUAGAGGUGAAAUUCGUAGAUAUUGGCUGGAACACCGGUGGCGAAAGCGGCUCUCUGGCCCGGUUCUGACGCUGAGGCGCGAAAGCGUGGGGAGCAAACAGG